CGUGUGGGCCGUGACUGGCGCUGAGGUGGAGCACCACCGGGGAGCGGCCUGACGAACCGGUCGAUGCCGUGCGCCUGGGCGAGUGGU
rfam:Streptomyces sp. Amel2xC10 genome assembly, contig: K375DRAFT_scaffold00016.16